rnacentral:rRNA from 1 species
GACGAACGCUGGCGGCGUGCUUAACACAUGCAAGUCGAACGGAAAGGCCCUGCUUUUGUGGGGUGCUCGAGUGGCGAACGGGUGAGUAACACGUGAGUAACCUGCCCUUGACUUUGGGAUAACUUCAGGAAACUGGGGCUAAUACCGGAUAGGAGCUCCUGCUGCAUGGUGGGGGUUGGAAAGUUUCGGCGGUUGGGGAUGGACUCGCGGCUUAUCAGCUUGUUGGUGUGGUAGUUGCUUACCAAGGCUUUGACGGGUAGCCGGCCUGAGAGGGUGACCGGCCACAUUGGGACUGAGAUACGGCCCAGACUCCUACGGGAGGCAGCAGUGGGGAAUAUUGCACAAUGGGCGGAAGCCUGAUGCAGCAACGCAGCGUGCGGGAUGACGGCCUUCGGGUUGUAAACCGAUUUCGCAUGUGACGAAGCGUGAGUGACGGUAAUGGGUAAAGAAGCACCGGCUAACUACGUG